GGUGAACGCUGGCGGUAGGCCUAACACAUGCAAGUCGAACGGCAGCACAGUAAGAGCUUGCUCUUACGGGUGGCGAGUGGCGGACGGGUGAGGAAUACAUCGGAAUCUACUUUUUCGUGGGGGAUAACGUAGGGAAACUUACGCUAAUACCGCAUACGACCUACGGGUGAAAGCAGGGGAUCUUCGGACCUUGCGCGAUUGAAUGAGCCGCUGUCGGAUUAGCUAGUUGGCGGGGUAAAGGCCCACCAAGGCGACGAUCCGUAGCUGGUCUGAGAGGAUGAUCAGCCACACUGGAACUGGGACACGGUCCAGACUCCUACGGGAGGCAGCAGUGGGGAAUAUUGGACAAUGGGCGCAAGCAUGAUCCAGCCAUACCGCGUGGGUGAAGAAGGCCUUCGGGUUGUAAAGCCCUUUUGUUGGGAAAGAAAAGCAGCAGGUUAAUACCCAGCUGUUCUGACGGUACCCAAAGAAUAAGCACCGGCUAACUUCGUG
rnacentral:rRNA from 1 species